rnacentral:rRNA from 1 species
GAUGAACGCUGGCGGCGUGCCUAAUACAUGCAAGUCGAGCGAAUGGAUUAAGAGCUUGCUCUUAUGAAGUUAGCGGCGGACGGGUGAGUAACACGUGGGUAACCUGCCCAUAAGACUGGGAUAACUACGGGAAACCGGGGCUAAUACCGGAUAACAUUUUGAAUCGCAUGGUUCGAAAUUGAAAGGCGGCUUCGGCUGUCCCUCAUGGAUUGACCCGCGUCGCAUUAGCUAGUUGGUGAGGUAACGGCUCACCAAGGCAACGAGGCGUAGCCGACCUGAGAGGGUGAUCGGCCACACUGGGGCUGAGACACGGCCCAGACUCCUACGGGAGGCAGCAGUGGGGAAUCUUCCGCAAUGGACGAAAGUCUGACGGAGCAACGCCGCGUGAGUGAUGAAGGCUUUCGGGUCGUAAAACUCUGUUGUUAGGGAAGAACAAGUGCUAGUUGAAUAAGCUGACACCUUGACGGUACCUAACCAGAAAGCCACGGCUAACUACGUGCCAGCCGCCGCGGUAA